CUCAUGUGCCCGACAAAACCGUCUGCAAAUCGAACGGCAGUCCCUGUUUUCCAACGACCCGAGACUUGCGCACACCACCCCGAGCAAGUACACGUUUAUCUGAUUUGCUGUAUCAAUUGCUUGGAUUUGUGGGAAAGACAGUAACUUACCGUACACGUUGAUUUGAUUUGCUGUAUCAAUUGCUUGGAUUUAUGAGAAGGACAACCGAGUUGGUUGUCAUAUCGUGAUAUCAACUGAUGAACAACACUGAAAAACCAAUAAAAAAUAAUAAUAAAUAAUUCGAGACA